CAUACGACAAGAUACAAUCAGGGGCGUCAUCGUCCGGUGUUCCAAAGCUCGGGGCCCAACAGAAACAAUCAAUAGAACCGCUAGUUGUUCUAAACCAGGAACAACAAGGCUUUCUGGGGUUCUUGCAAUCAGCAAAGCUCACUACUGAUCAGAUAACAGGGGCUUCAAAUCAAAAUCUGGAUCCGCUGAAAGAGUAUCCGAUAGCUCCAGUGGUCAAAUGGCACUAUAAGGAGGGCACCAGCCUUGUACCCCCCCAGAUAUUGUGCAGUUGCUUCCAACGCAAAUGCGAAGGCUACAUGAUUUGUACAUAAAGGCGAUGAGAGAAUGCAACUUCAUGCAAGGCGCAAAGAUUGGAGAUGAAGAUUUCUUUCGUGGAGAGGCCAUCAUAUGGAUUGAUUGGGAAGAAGUGUACCAAUUAUACCAUCAGGACGCCCUCGACAUCUCUAUGGUCGCUUUGUGGCUUCUGUAAGAUGGAGAUUCAAACAUGCUAGAAAAAAGGGUAUUACCACAUCAACUUUGUCGACCCACAGGUUGUGAAUUGCAAGAAUCUCCUGAGCAAUCCUGCAGAAACAUUCAAAAACUUGUACAAGUACCUAACCAUUCAACAUUACAAGAGUCUCAUUCUAUUUCCGUACAACUUUGCAGAUCACAGGAUACUAGUUGUCAUAUUUCCGGACUUGAGCUUAGCAGUUGUUAUGGACUCUUUGCGGAGAGAUCCAGACCAAU